GUCUGGACCCUUGGCACUUUCACGAUAAAAUACACAGAUAAGAAGAUCAGGCCUCUUCAGCUUGUCCGCUGCAGCUGAAAAGCAAAGCCUCUCUAUCAAUAGAGUUGCUUGUGAUACAUCAGUAUCCUCACUCACCCCCAACUCCAGAGGCUGAAACUGACUCUCCUCCUCCCUCUUCCAACUGCUGAUGAAGGGCUUUCAAGGACUGAGAAUGCACAUAUGGAUAGAACAAAUCUAGAAAUU
rnacentral:lncRNA from 1 species